rnacentral:rRNA from 1 species
GACGAACGCUGGCGGCGUGCUUAACACAUGCAAGUCGAACGGAAAGGCCCUGCUUUUGUGGGGUGCUCGAGUGGCGAACGGGUGAGUAACACGUGAGUAACCUGCCCUUGACUUUGGGAUAACUUCAGGAAACUGGGGCUAAUACCGUAUAGGAGCUCCUGCUGCAUGGUGGGGGUUGGAAAGUUUCGGCGGUUGGGGAUGGACUCGCGGCUUAUCAGCUUGUUGGUGGGGUAGUGGCUCACCAAGGCUUUGACGGGUAGCCGGCCUGAGAGGGUGACCGGCCACAUUGGGACUGAGAUACGGCCCAGACUCCUACGGGAGGCAGCAGUGGGGAAUAUUGCACAAUGGGCGGAAGCCUGAUGCAGCAACGCCGCGUGCGGGAUGACGGCCUUCGGGUUGUAAACCGCUUUCGCCUGUGACGAAGCGUGAGUGACGGUAAUGGGUAAAGAAGCACCGGCUAACUACGUG